rnacentral:rRNA from 1 species
UGGUGGAGUGAUCUGUUUGGUUAAUUCCGUUAACGAACGAGACCUUAGCCUGCUAAAUAGUUGCACGUAACCUCGGCUAUGUGGGCAACUUCUUAGAAUGACUUUUCGUGUCUAACGUGAGGAAGUUUGAGGCAAUAACA